rnacentral:rRNA from 1 species
AACCUGCCCAAGAGAUCGGGAUAACACCUGGAAACAGAUGCUAAUACCGGAUAACAACAGAUGAUGCCUAUCAACUGUUUAAAAGAUGGUUCUGCUAUCACUCUUGGAUGGACCUGCGGUGCAUUAGCUAGUUGGUAGGGUAACGGCCUACCAAGGCGAUGAUGCAUAGCCGAGUUGAGAGACUGAUCGGCCACAUUGGGACUGAGACACGGCCCAAACUCCUACGGGAGGCAGCA